GGUUCGGUUCGGUUACCCGCACGUACAGCCGGACGAACGCGUCCAUACAUGGCGCUGUAUCGAAGAACAGGUUGUUUAUACGCUCGAUUCCACGCGUUAUAGCCGACUAUUUUCUCGUACAAUCAGUUUGUAAAUGUUUACACGCGAAUAAGACGACCGAUUAGCGCUCGUACGUACACCUCGAGUAAUUUUUUUCGUCGUAAUCGCGACAAACCAAACUGCAAAGAUAACCGAGUCAAGGGCGAGAUGUCGCAUCGGAGCAAAUUCCUACUGGCCGGAUUACCGCGGAUACCUUGGGCGCAGACACGUGACGCAAUCCGCCACCGUGGCCGUGGCCGCCGCCGCCGAACGGAAAUCAGUACCGAAAAUCUAGAAAUGAACGCAAAGAAUGAUAAAAAUUUACGUGGUCGAUACACGAAUACGUGACCAUCGAGUGAAGACAAUAUCGGAGAACAGAAAUUUGCAGCGCAACAGAACGUGUAAGAAAACUGUAUCAGCUCACCGGAUGAAACCCACGAGCCAACUUUUCAUAAACCAAAGAAGGCAAAGACGCUGACGGCGAAACGAUAACAUCGAUAUACGACAACCUAUAAAAUUGAUUUUGAAAUUUGAAAAAUUUUUAUGUGCUGUACUUAAAAACAUUUUAUCAACAUCGAAAAGGAUUCCAGAGGAGAAAAAAAACAACCGUCGCGAAUUUAUACGAUUAAACGGCUCUUAGUAUUUAUUUCUUUAAAAUACCAGUACAGAUCUGGUAGAGAAAGUAGUUAUGACAUAAGGGAUACAGGAAAGAGGACUCGACCACACAAAAACUCCGACCAUUAAAAUAAAACUAAACAAAAAACUUUCAGCUUUUAACUGCAAGUUACAUUUUGAUGAUCUUAUUUAUGGCUCACAAACAAGUUAGCCCGUAUAAUCGGAGACUUGUACUACACGAGUUCAGACUCCUGUACACCAAACUACGAGUAUAAGGAGUCGUCGACUGCUUAUUUUUGUGGUGCAAACCACCGUGAAAGUUUUUCACCGCAAGUGACAUUUUGUUUGCUUUGAAAAGAGGCCAAGCAUAAGCAACACAAGAUGUAUCCUUCCUUCUUAAAAUGUAAUUACAAGUAGCCUUGGAAAAGUUCAAUUUUACGAGCUGCGUUUAACUAGGUCGAUAAGCAGGAAUCGUAUUCUUAUCAACUUUUACUCUACUCGCAUUACAUCUUGGUAAUUAGAAUUAGCGGUUUGACCACCAUUACCAGCGUAAAGUUCACAACUCCGAAACAAAAUUCAGCUGAAAAGCUUCAUACUCUAUACAAUCAGCAACAGAUGGAAUAAUAUGCGCUGCAUUUGUCUACUGCGCAACUGAUUCGCGCAGGUUGCACGGCAGUUGCGUUUAGACCAGUAGAUGAGGAAGACGUGUUUUGCAGGGUUCCCGGUACAAUGUUUUGAUUUUGAUGAAUUUUAGCAAAAAAGGGGAACAAAAUCAGGGUUAUGGGGCAUGGGGCACAACAAUGCGUCAAAAUGAUGAAUUUGUCAGCUAAGCAUGAAAAGUUUUCUGAUUUGGAAGAAUAAAAUUGAAAAUUUUGGAGAUUGUGAUGACAAAUAUUGGAUUUCUUUGCAUUGAUGAAGCUGAAAGUGAUACUUUUUAAGCACAAAAAACAUUUUCAUUGGGACUUGGUAACUUUUCAUCGAUGAUCAGUCACUUUCAAUGACUUUUCACUAAAUUUCUGCAUGUUGACAAAUCAGAGUCUGGCACUGGAAAAUGGAAAUCUUGUAGAAAUCUUGAAUUCUCAGUGAAUAGGAAUUUCAUGGUUUGAUUAACAUACCUAGACUGAUUUGAGUCAAAUGAAACAGUUUGGGUUUUAAAUGAUACAUUUAUACCCCAUGAGGUUUUCAAGGCAUUGAAAAUUCACUAACAAAAGGUGACCAAUUAAUUAAGUGAAUCAGCGUCGCCCAGGAAGGUUAUAAAAAUAUUUGAAUUGAUGACAGGUCAAUUAUGAAUAUAAAGUUCAGAACUGAUUUUAGGUCACUUGACAAAGAUUCAGAAAGGGGACAAAUUAGCCUCUUGGAUACAAAAUUUCACACUUCAGAGCUUUAAUUUCUGACAAUUUGAUCAAACACUACGCUGGUAAUACUGGUCAAAUGCUCCACAAAUGUUCGAAAUGUCCCUCAAACUAGACAAAUUUUUCCAAACGACCAAGCUUCCACCAUUCAAUUGACAAAAUUUUCCACGAAAGUCAACCCAUCGCUCUCCAACCACAUCAACAUGACAAUGAAGCAAAAAUUGAAACAUCCCUUAAUGCAUUAGGUCUAUCAAACCAAUAAUUAACACUCCAUCAUUGUCACAUUAUCUCAUUACGAGCAAAAAACCGAAAAUACAUUCCGAACUCGAACAAUUCUACGAAUUCCUUCAACAUCUCCUACGCCUUGUAGUCUUCCUGCUUAAUUAAAAAUAAUCAAUAGCUCGGAAACUGGUCAACGUUAAUUCGCUUCAAUAAAGCUAUCCAAUAAAAACGUUUAAAUCGAUAAUACACAUGUUCACAACAUAGAUCCAGAUGGUAGAACAGGCGAAAUAUCGCCAACUGCACAACAAACAUCAACAUUACACAAGCUAGGAAAUUUAUACAGCCGUAAAUAUGUUCGAAAGUCUAAUUAAAUAAGCCCACAGAUCGUAUAAACCGGCAAUUACGUGAUUGUUAUUUGUGUUUGUCGAGAUGAGCAGAAUUUUUUUUUUUUCAUUCGUUAUUAUAAUCUCGAGUAAAAAAUUAAUCGUAGAAAAAUUUAAUGAUAAUUCGAAUUAUUGAUUAAGUAUCUACAGACGUCUCCUUGAAACUUACAGCUUUGUCGCCAUUCGAUUUGAAUAAUUUUAUUUAAUGUUUAAAAUGACCAUCGUUUGAAAGUAUACAUAUUUCGUAAGUGCAAAUGUUAAAGAAAAAACGACAAUUUCAAUAAAAUUAUGGAAACUUG